rnacentral:rRNA from 1 species
CAGCCGCCACGGUAAUACGAAGGGUGCAAGCGUUAAUCGGAAUUACUGGGCGUAAAGCGUGCGUAGGCGGUGAGUUAAGUCUGUUGUGAAAUCCCCGGGCUCAACCUGGGAAUGGCAAUGGAUACUGGCAAGCUAGAGUGUGUCAGAGGAUGGUGGAAUUUCCGGUGUAGCAGUGAAAUGCGUAGAUAUGCGGAGGAACACCGAUGGCGAAGGCAGCCCCCUGGGCCAACACUGACGCUCAUGCACGAAAGCGUGGGGAGCAAACAGGAUUAGAUACCCGAGUAGUCCCUGUCUCUUAUAC